CCCAGUUUUAGCCUGCUUGCCAUCUCAUGAUUGUCUGUUCUUGGUUUUGCAGCUGGCGGGAGGUUGAUCUUCAGUCUCUGAAGGGGAGUCCUGAUGAGGAGAAUGAAGAGAUUGAGGACCUAUCCGACGCAGCCUUCGCCGCCCUGCAUGCCAAAUGUGAGGAGAUGGAGAGGGCACGGUGGCUGUGGACCACGAGUGUGCCACCCCAGCGGCGGGGCAGCAGGUCCUACAGGUCAUCAGACGGCCGGACAACCCCCCAGCUGGGCAGUGCCAACCCCUCCACCCCCCAGCCUGCCUCCCCUGAUGUCAGCAGUAGCCACUCUUUGUCAGAAUACUCCCAUGGUCAGUCCCCUAGGAG
rnacentral:lncRNA from 1 species